GGCAAGGAAGCGGUUACGAGCACGGAUGCACAAGGUUGUAUGAGUCACGGAGGAUUACUGAGAAGUGAAGAUCGAAGACCGAGUCUUAAGUUAUAUUGUACGGGAGUGUUUGAAUAAGUAAUGUCAUAAAUAUAAUUUAUGUUUCUAUUUGUAAAUAAGUUCGAUGGGAGUAUUCAGUGUAACAGUGUCACUUUAAAAAUUAACUUCAAGUAAGUCAAGACGUUUAAAAUGAAAGAAAUUUUAUGGUAUGAAA